UCUCUGUUAGUAUAGUGGUUAGUACUCCCGCCUGUCACGCGGGCGACCAGGGUUCGAUUCCCUGACAGAGAG